AUCCUCUUCAUGCAAUUCCAACUGGAACAGUUUGAUCUAAAUACAUUAAAUCAAAAUACAACAUUUAGAUUUACAUGUAAUUUUAAUUAUAGCUAGCAUAGUUACAACUACAUACAACAAAAGCAUUUAGCUUUAACUUUGCAGUAAUUAGGUAUGGAAAAGUAAUCAUUAUUGUCGGAUCGUUGGCGCUAACCAUUAAUUCCAAAAGCUCGAGAUGUUAGAAAUACGCAACCAAUUCACUUAAAGCGUACAGAUAUAGUGCCUAUACGGGUCUCGAUUGUGACUCAGCCCAACCAGCCUCACGCUAUUUCUAAUAUGAUUCGGCCCAGUCAGUCUCACGCUACUUCGAAUAUGACUCGGCCCAAUAUGACCUUUUGCCAUAUGGCAGAAUGCUGGCUCAUUUUAGCCAACAACUGUAUAAUAUAUGUACGAGCAUAAAAUAUUUUA
rnacentral:lncRNA from 1 species